AACGAACGCUGGCGGCGUGGCUAAGGCAUGCAAGUCGAACGGUACGGUGAAGCAAUUUGCCGUAUAGUGGCGGACGGGUGAGUAAUCCAUGGAUAACGUACCUCGGAUUCAGGGAUAACGGCGGGCCGAGCAAUCGGUCCUUUGCGAAAGUGCCGCUAAUACCUGAUGACCCCGCGGAGUCGCAUGAUUCUUGCGGGCGAAAGUUACCGGUCCGAUCCGACGAGCGGCCCGACUGCCUACUCAGCUAGUCGGCGAGGGUGGAUGG
rnacentral:rRNA from 1 species